rnacentral:hammerhead_ribozyme from 1 species
AUCCAGCCGACGAAUCCCAAAUAGGACGAAACGUGCGUCCUGGAU